ACGGCUCAGUAACACGUGGAUAACGUGCCCUUAAGUGGAGGAUAACCUCGGGAAACUGAGGAUAAUACUCCAUAGAUUAUGGAAUCUGGAAUGAUCCAUAGUCGAAAGUUCCGGCGCUUAAGGAUCGGUCUGCGGCCUAUCAGGUAGUAGUGGGUGUAACGUACCUACUAGCCUAUGACGGGUAUGGGCCUUGAGAGAGGGAGCCCAGAGUUGGAUUCUGAGACACGAAUCCAGGCCCUACGGGGCGCAGCAGUCGCGAAAACUUCACAAUGGGGGCAACCCCGAUGAGGGAAUUCCUAGUGCUAGCACAAUUGUGUUAGCUUUUCUCUAGCGUAGAUAACUAGAGGAAUAAGGGCUGGGAAAGACGGGUGCCAGCCGCCGCGGUAAUACCUGCAGCCCAAGUGGUGGUCGAUUUUAUUGAGUCUAAAACGUUCGUAGCCGGUUCGAUAAAUCCUUGGUUAAAUCGGGGGGCUUAACCUUCCGUCUUCCGAGGAGACUGUCGAACUUGGGACCGGGAGAGGCUAGAGGUACUUCUGGGGUAGGGGUAAAAUCCUGUAAUCCUAGAAGGACCACCGGUGGCGAAGGCGUCUAGCUAGAACGGAUCCGACGGUGAGGGACGAAGCCCUGGGUCGCAAACGGGAUUAGAUACCCCGGUAGUCCAGGGUGUAAACGCUGCAGACUUGGUGUUGGAAGUCCUUUGGCGGCAUUCAGUGCCGGAGAGAAGUUGUUAAGUCUGCUACUUGGGGAGUACGUCCGCAAGGAUGAAACUUAAAGGAAUUGGCGGGGGAG
rnacentral:rRNA from 1 species